GACGUAGGGGGCGAGCGUUGUCCGGAUUUAUUGGGCGUAAAGCGUGCGUAGGCGGCUGCGCAAGUCGGGUGUGAAACCCCGGGGCUCAACCCCGGAACUGCAUCCGAUACUGCGUGGCUAGAGGUAGGUAGGGGAGAUCGGAAUUCCUGGUGUAGCGGUGAAAUGCGUAGAGAUCGGGAGGAAGGCCGGUGGCGAAGGCGGCGCUCUGGAACGUUUCUGACGCUGAGGCUCGAAAGCGUGGGGAGCAAACAGGG
rnacentral:rRNA from 1 species